CCCUUGUAAAAUUUAGCCAGUACUCGGCGGGGACUUUAGUGGUGUCCAGCUCUUCUGAGCUUUCGUAUCCUUUUUUCCAUAUUAGUUAUGAAAUUGCUUAGAAACAGGAAAAUAUUAAAGGAGUCUGCUUUAAUCCAAGAUUUUUCCAAUUGAACUUCUGAAAGCUAAAGUGUUGCUAAUUUUCCAACAAAAUUCUGGAGAAAAGGAUACGCGAGUCUGGUAGUCAAAGCGGUUCUUGCUACUCAGAAGUGCGGUUUUGCGUUGCGACUUGCCGUGAGUGCAGUGGUCCACGAAUAUAUUGGUGCUGAAGCACGGUAAACUCGCGUGAAUUACCGACUGUUUUCUAAUCAACUAACCGCAUAACUUCAGCGUUUCUAGUUUUAUCAAUAAACGAGCUCAGAUUCUCCCAGUGAUAUCCCCGCGAUUAAACAGCACCAACGCCGCAAAUCAAACCUCAUUGCAAAUACGUCGAAGCUCCCAACUAGCUGUGCUGUCUGCUCAAGUGCGAAAAAGUUUUCCAUAAAUAUAAAAUACAAGUGAAAAGCCAACAAAGGUAGUGAAGUGAAUUUAAUUUAAAAGUUUUAAGUGAGCAAGUUUUAUUAGACCGAAACGAAGUAAGUGGGGAACCGGAAUUAAAAAAAAUGGCUUGGGGCUAUUGGAGUGCCACAACGGUAGAUCGUGGCCGUUCACCACGUCGUAAUACACAAUGUGUCGCGAUGCCAGUGAAUACGGUACCGCAAUCAGAACCUCCACCACCCGUCGCCACCUGCUACAGUCCAACCUGCCGUAGCCGAUGCACUAGUCCUUGCCAUAGUCCGUGUCCGGAUAGUCCUUGUCAGUCGGUAAGUCCACCAUUGCCGGCUCCUCCAUCAUUGGCACAAUGCUCGCAAAUGCAACAACCACAACAACCGCCACAACCGAUUCUACCGCCAGAGGAUUACUCCCGACGUGCUUCAUUGGACCGCUUGGAUAGUCCACAGUCCUACGAUUUUGGCAUACAGGCACAUCAGCUCUCGGACAUACUGUGUCGGGGUGCGACGGUUUCAUCAAUACAAUCGGCCAGCAACACCCUCACACGUGGAACAUCAUUACGAGGCAGUGUAAUGGCAGGUGGAGUGGACACAGGUGACUACGAUGUACCGCAUCCGCAUCCUUAUACACAUCAUUAUAUGCAAACGACAGCAUCCAUCACCCCACCACAUUCGGCCAUGAGUCUGGUGGGCUCACGUCCUGGAUCGGCUGGUGGCUCAGGACAUGGUUCCGGAUCGGGCUCGAGCCCAGGUGGAUGUGUAAGUGGGAGUGGCAGUGGAAUGGGUCGAAGUGGUGGAGGCCGAAGUAGUGGAGGUGGUGGAACGGGAAGUUGUGAUGAUAGUGGCGGUGGAGGUGGUGGAAGUAGUGGAGGACGUAAUAGUGUUUUAGGCGAUUUGAUAGGAGGCGGCGGUGGUGUGGGUAUUGGAAUUAGUUACCAGGAAUGUAUACAUUAUGAGAGAUUGCCGAUACCGGUGCCUAUACCCACGGUGCCGCCACCACCACCCCUGCAUUCCGAGGAGGAAAUUGAACCAGCUUACGCUACAGUAUUUCCGAAUGUGCCAUCAGCGCCUGGACUGUCCUGUGUAGGAGAAGAUCGGAGUAUAUACAGACGAGGAGCACGAAGAUGGCGAAAACUGUAUCGUAUCAAUGGACACAUAUUCCAAGCGAAAAGAUUUAAUCGGCGAGCCUUCUGUGCCUAUUGUCAAGACCGCAUAUGGGGACUUGGACGUCAGGGAUUCAAGUGCAUUCAAUGUAAACUUCUGGUGCACAAGAAAUGCCACAAACUAGUGCAAAAACCAUGUACUAAUGAGCACGUCGAACCCGUUGUGAAAGAACGUGAUGAGCUCAAUGGCGAAGCACCACCAGAAAUCAUUCCUCCAGCUCCAGAUUAUCCGCCAGAAUUGACGGAACCUUGUGAUCAGGUAGCCGUCGAGGCACCACAAAAUGUGGAAGAGAACUUAGAGCCAGGCGCUCAACGUCAAUACUCGCUGGACGAUUUUGAAUUGAUUCGAGUUAUUGGUCGAGGCAGCUACGCUAAGGUCCUAAUGGUUGAGUUGAAAAAGACUCGAAGAAUUUACGCUAUGAAAGUUAUAAAAAAGGCUUUAGUAACGGAUGAUGAGGACAUCGAUUGGGUGCAAACAGAAAAGCAUGUUUUCGAAACAGCUUCGAAUCAUCCAUUUUUGGUUGGAUUGCAUUCUUGUUUCCAGACACCGUCAAGGCUCUUCUUCGUUAUCGAAUUCGUCCGCGGUGGAGACCUCAUGUUUCAUAUGCAACGGCAGCGACGCCUUCCUGAGGAACACGCUCGUUUCUAUGCAGCUGAAAUUAGUUUGGCCUUGAAUUUCCUUCAUGAGAAAGGAAUAAUUUAUCGUGAUUUGAAGCUGGAUAACGUUCUGUUAGAUCAUGAGGGUCAUAUCAAAUUGACAGAUUAUGGCAUGUGUAAGGAGGGAAUACGUCCUGGUGAUACAACUUCAACAUUUUGCGGAACGCCUAAUUAUAUAGCUCCUGAAAUUCUCCGUGGUGAAGACUACGGAUUUUCGGUGGAUUGGUGGGCCUUGGGUGUGUUACUCUAUGAAAUGUUGGCUGGACGUAGCCCGUUCGAUAUUGCUGGUGCGUCAGAAAAUCCAGAUCAAAAUACGGAAGAUUAUCUAUUCCAAGUUAUAUUGGAGAAAACUAUUAGGAUACCUCGUUCGUUAAGCGUUAAAGCGGCUCAAGUACUUAAAGGUUUCCUAAAUAAGAAUCCUGCUGAUCGUCUAGGUUGCAAUCGUGAAUCGGCCUUCAUGGACAUUGUCAAUCAUCCGUUCUUUAAAUCUAUCGACUGGGAAAUUCUUGCACAAAAGGAGGUCCAACCGCCUUACAUUCCGACUUUUGAUCCCGGCGAUCCAGAUUUUGCAUCAAAUUUUGAUCCACAGUUUACCAGAGAACCGGCUGAAUUGACGCCUGACGAUCCCCGGGUGAUUGACAGAAUCGAUCAGUCAGAGUUUGAAGGCUUCGAAUAUGUGAAUCCACUCCUAAUGUCCUUGGAAGACUGCGUCUGACAUCACGAGUCCUGUCAGCUGCAUCCAUACAACAUGCAGAGAGCUCCAGUUACGUAUUGGUGACUUCAUCUUGGUUAGUGUAAAUUUUCAAAAUAAAGUGACGGAAAGGCAACUAGAUAACAGAGAAAACUCGACACUCAAAUAUGAAAACAAGUUAAAAAAAAAA
rnacentral:misc_RNA from 1 species